rfam:Phlebotomus papatasi Contig8.152, whole genome shotgun sequence.
GGCUCAAUGGUCUAGCGGUAUGAUUCUCGCUUAGGGUGCGAGAGGUCCCGGGUUCAACUCCCGGUUGAGCCC